ACUUUGGUGGAUUAGGGAAAUGAUUUAUAACUGAUGAAGAAUUCUUAAAGGCUUGUUCAUUAUUUUGAAAGAGUUGGGAUCCACUAUGAUCCAUUAUUUACUUACCUUGCAAACCACAUAUACAGUGGAGAAUAUAACUAUAAUAAUGGAGAGACUCCGUAAAUAGAAAAACAUUAUCUAAUUAUUUAAAAGGUUAGAGAAAAAAAGAAAUGCAAAACAAGGAAGCAUCUGAAGCAAGAAUCUCCCGCAAUGCACCAUAUUAGUAUUCAAAUUCCAUAUUCUUGUUUUGUCAAUUGUGAACACUAAAACUCUUACUCAUAUUUUUUUUUUAAUUAUUGAUUAUUAAUGUUAGAUUUUAUUAAUCAAUACGGUUUAGUCUUUAAAUUUAUGAGUAUUAUUUGAAAUUCUUAAUGAUUUUAAUCGAUUUUGAUCAGUAUUAAAGAUUACAAUUUAAAUAAUUUGCUUUAAAGUUAAUAUAAAGUUUUGUUACUGAGAAGAGCGCCCACACACCUCAAAUUUAAAGUUAAA
rnacentral:lncRNA from 1 species